rnacentral:misc_RNA from 1 species
UAUCGGUAGUUUACUACCGUUUGAAGGGGGUGGAAAGCUUCUAGGUCUUCCUAGAGGCGAGUACAUCCUGUUCUUAACCCUUGACUUUUUGCGCACUCAUGUUUCCUCGGCAGGCUUGCCUGCCGAACGGACAAAUCAAUAACCUAUUUAAUAUUUAAUCAGCGUCUGAAUUAUUUUAAUAAUUACAACUUUCAACAACGGAUCUCUUGGUUCU